GACGAACGCUGGCGGCGUGCCUAACACAUGCAAGUUGAGCGACGAACCAGGGCUUGCCCUGGGGCAAAGCAGCGAACGGGUGAGUAACACGUGGGUAACCUACCCCGAUAACCGGGACAACCCGAGGAAACUCGGGCUAAUACCGGAUGUGCUCACUGGACUUCGGUUCAGUGCGUAAAGGAAGCUUCGGCCUCCGUAUCGGGAGGGGCCCGCGGCCCAUUAGUUUGUUGGUGAGGUAACGGCUCACCAAGACCGCGAUGGGUAGCUGGUCUGAGAGGACGAUCAGCCACACUGGGACUGAGACACGGCCCAGACUCCUACGGGAGGCAGCAGUGGGGAAUCUUGCGCAAUGGGCGAAAGCGUGACGCAGCAACGCCGCGUGGGGGAAGAAGGCCUUCGGGUUGUAAACCCCUUUCAGGAGGGACGAAGGUUCGGCGGUGAAUAGCCGGCCGGACUGACGGUACCUCCACAAGAAGCCCCGGCUAACUACGUG
rnacentral:rRNA from 1 species